AAAGACUCCCAACAGCUUCUUUCCUUUAAAGCUGCACUCCCACCAACCCCAACUCUGCUUCAGAACUGGUUGUCAUCUACUGACCCUUGUAGUUUCACUGGUGUUUCAUGCAAGAAUUCUAGAGUUUCUUCUAUAGAUCUCAGUAACACUUUUUUAAGUGUGGAUUUCAGUUUGGUCACUUCUUAUUUGCUUCCUCUUUCUAAU
rnacentral:misc_RNA from 1 species